AUGAGCAAUUUACCAACUACCCGAAAAGACAUUGAAAGAGCAUUCGGGGUUUUACAAUCUAGGUUUGCCAAUGUUCGUGGUUCUGCUCGUUUUUGGGACAAGAGGACCUUGAAAAAUAUCAUGACAUGUUGUGUUAUCCUUCACAAUAUGAUUCUCGAAGAUGAGAGAGGAAUGAACUUGGAGUUCUUCUACGACUAUGUGGGUAGCCGUGUCAAACUAGCUAGAGACCCUAACCACAUUAGAGCUUUUCUUCAAACCUACAAAGAGAUUGAAAACGCAAACACCCAUUUUCAGCUUCAGAAGGAUCUCAUUGAGCACCAUUGGCAAAAGGCUGGACAGUAA
rnacentral:rRNA from 1 species